AUAAAACCUGUGAACAGAAGAGUAAGAAUUUUAGUGGGGUCAGCGAAUCGAGGAUGGUGAGAGCUCGAGCAAAACUAAUUUCUGAAGCGCAUCUGGAAGGUUUUUUUCUGAAAUCAAGUAGGAAAAAACGUAGAAUUGCGUUAAAUUAACUGAAAGUGGAUAAUUUUUUAUCAAUCAGAGUGGUACCACGGAUCUUAACCUGUCUCUAUA
rnacentral:ncRNA from 1 species